AGCGAACGCUGGCGGCAGGCCUAACACAUGCAAGUCGAACGAACCUUUCGGGGUUAGUGGCGGACGGGUGAGUAACACGUGGGAACGUGCCUUUAGGUUCGGAAUAACUCAGGGAAACUUGUGCUAAUACCGAAUGUGCCCUUCGGGGGAAAGAUUUAUCGCCUUUAGAGCGGCCCGCGUCUGAUUAGCUAGUUGGUUGAGGUAAUGGCUCACCAAGGCGACGAUCAGUAGCUGGUCUGAGAGGAAGAUCAGCCACAUUGGGACUGAGACACGGCCCAAACUCCUACGGGAGGCAGCAGUGGGGAAUCGUGCGCAAUGGGCGAAAGCCUGACGCAGCCAUGCCGCGUGAAUGAUGAAGGUCUUAGGAUUGUAAAAUUCUUUCACCGGGGACGAUAAUGACGGUACCCGGAGAAGAAGCCCCGGCUAACUUCGUG
rnacentral:rRNA from 1 species